rnacentral:rRNA from 1 species
UACGGAGGGGGCUAGCGUUGUUCGGAAUUACUGGGCGUAAAGCGCACGUAUGUGGCGCAUCAAGUCAGAGGUGAAAGGCCUGGGCUCAACCUGGGAACUGCCUUUGAGACUGGUGCGCUAGAGUCCGGGAGAGGGCAGUGGAAUUCCCAGUGUAGAGGUGAAAUUCGUAGAUAUUGGGAAGAACACCAGUGGCGAAGGCGGCUGCCUGGCCCGGCACUGACACUGAGGUGCGAAAGCGUGGGGAGCAAACAGG